GGAGAGAUGAUGUGGCUGAGUGGAUUCAAAGUGGAUUGCUAAUCCGUUGCACAAUUUUUUGUACCGAGGGUUCGAAUCCUCUCUUUCCGCCCCCCC
rnacentral:tRNA from 1 species